AGGACGAACGCUGGCGGCGUGCUUAACACAUGCAAGUCGAGCGGAAAGGCCCUUCGGGGUACUCGAGCGGCGAACGGGUGAGUAACACGUGGGCAACCUGCCCCUAGCUCUGGGAUAACUCCGGGAAACCGGUGCUAAUACCGGAUACGACCUCAUUAGGCAUCCUUUGAGGUGGAAAGAUUUAUUGGCUAGGGAUGGGCCCGCGGCCUAUCAGCUUGUUGGUGGGGUAAUGGCCUACCAAGGCGACGACGGGUAGCCGGCCUGAGAGGGCGACCGGCCACACUGGGACUGAGACACGGCCCAGACUCCUACGGGAGGCAGCAGUGGGGAAUAUUGCGCAAUGGGCGAAAGCCUGACGCAGCGACGCCGCGUGAGGGAUGACGGCCUUCGGGUUGUAAACCUCUUUCAGCUCUGACGAAGCGAGAGUGACGGUAGGAGCAGAAGAAGCACCGGCCAACUACGUGCCAGCAGCCGC
rnacentral:rRNA from 1 species